GCCGAUGUAGCUCAGGGGUAGAGCGUUUCCUUGGUAAGGAAGAGGUCGGCAGUUCGAAUCUGCUCGUUGGCUC
rnacentral:tRNA from 1 species